rnacentral:piRNA from 1 species
UGCUGCCAGAUGGUCAUUCUGAAGCA